UCGAAGCCAUUCACCUUGUUUUUUGAGACAGGGUCUUUUAUGGCCUGAUGCAAGCUUGCUAAGCAGUUAGUCUGGCUAGCUGGCCCAUGAGCUGCAGGGGUCUGUUUGUCUGUUUCUUCAGGGAUGGGAAUAGAAGUGUAUAGCACUAUGCCUAGCUUUUUACGUGGAUUCUGGGGAUGAGACUAAGAUUCCUAGGCCCAGAAGGUGAGCACUCUACUGCAUGAAGUACUUCCUCAGCCCCCAGCAAAAUAUUUUCUUUCUUUUCUACCCCACUCCAAAGCUAGGACCUAAUACAUGCUAGACAAAAUACUGUACCACUGAGCUAUAGCCCCAGCCCUCAAAUAUGUCUUAAGUCAAUGAAAAAUUCUGUCCAUCCCACUACACUGGGAAUCUCUUGAGGAAAGAGGGAAGGUUUUAUUCAUCUCUCAAUCACCAGUACCUACAGUUGGGCCUGGUUCUUGUUGGGAGCCCAGGAUUUGAGGAAUGAGCUGAUGUAGGAUCCCCCUGAGCCUUUGUAAUUAAACUGGUCAUUUCCCCAUCCUUGGAGGGGCCCCAGCUUCAGAUCCCUGGGUGAUGCAGGUGAGUUGCUAGGCAACAGCAUGAGGUUGGCUCUGGGGUCACAGUGGAGAGUGUGCUGUGAGGCCAGCUUGCCGGUAAUUGGAAACACUUCUCUAUUCAGCAGUCUCUUAAACUGCCUCUGCUUUCUCCCCUCCAGCCCAUCCCCCCUUUCAGCUGCAGGAGGGAUUGUUUUAAAGCAAGCAAGCAAUCCCAGCACUCCCCCCACUCCCAAACCUCCUGUUUCUGAGGGAGGAAUCCAAGGUUCAAGAGCUAGAGGAACCUGUUCGAAGUCCAUGUUAACAGAUUAUCUAAUUCAUCAUUUUUACAUGUGAAGAAAAAGAAGGGUGACUCUAUUCUUGAAGCCAGAGUUAUCAGCAGAUGAACUGAAAGGAAGAUAUCUGGGUUGAAGAAAUAGCUUAGAGUUUGCCAGCAUACAUGAAGCCCUAAGUCUGAUUCCUCAGUCCUGAAUGAAACUGGAGAUAACUACAGCUUUCUGGAUGUCGAGGCAGGAGAAUUAGAAGUUCAAGGUUUUCCUCAGCUAGCAAGGUCUCAAUUGAGGCGGAUUUCUGAAUUCGAGGCC